GCAGUCGAGCGGAUGAAGAGAGCUUGCUCUCUGAUUCAGCGGCGGACGGGUGAGUAAUGCCUAGGAAUCUGCCUGGUAGUGGGGGACAACGUCUCGAAAGGGACGCUAAUACCGCAUACGUCCUACGGGAGAAAGCAGGGGACCUUCGGGCCUUGCGCUAUCAGAUGAGCCUAGGUCGGAUUAGCUAGUUGGUGAGGUAAUGGCUCACCAAGGCGACGAUCCGUAACUGGUCUGAGAGGAUGAUCAGUCACACUGGAACUGAGACACGGUCCAGACUCCUACGGGAGGCAGCAGUGGGGAAUAUUGGACAAUGGGCGAAAGCCUGAUCCAGCCAUGCCGCGUGUGUGAAGAAGGUCUUCGGAUUGUAAAGCACUUUAAGUUGGGAGGAAGGGCAGUAACUUAAUACGUUGCUGUUUUGACGUUACCGACAGAAUAAGCACCGGCUAACUCUGUGCCAGCAACCGCGGUAAUACAGAGGGUGCAAGCGUUAAU
rnacentral:rRNA from 1 species